UACGAGGGAUGCAAGCGUUAUCCGGAAUUAUUGGGCGUAAAGCGUUUGUAGGCGGGCGAGUGUGUUUAAUGUUAAAUCUUAAAGCUCAACUUUGAAAUUGCGUUAAAAACUGCUUGUCUUGAGUAUGGUAGGGGUAAAGGGAAUUCCCAGUGUAGCGGUGAAAUGCGUAGAUAUUGGGAAGAACACUAAACAGCGAAGGCACUUUACUAGGCUAAUACUGACGCUGAGAAACGAAAGGUAAGGUAGCGAAACGG
rnacentral:rRNA from 1 species